ensembl:rRNA 5S_rRNA 5S ribosomal RNA
GUCUACAGCCAUACCACCCUGUACGUGCCCAAGCUUGUCUGAUCUCAGAAGCUAAGCAGGGUCGGGCCUGGUUAGUACUUGGAUGGGAGAAAAGAGAGAAGGGCUUUGUUGAAU